rnacentral:rRNA from 1 species
CCGCCCGUCACACCAUGGGAGUCAAUUGCUCCAGAAGUCAGCACACCAACCGCAAGGAGGUAGCUGCCCAAGGAGUGAUUGGUAACUGGGUG